rnacentral:tRNA from 2 species
AGCCCCUUGGUGUAAUGGUAACACUACGGAUUCUGAUUCCGUCUUUCCAGGUUCGAGUCCUGGGGGGGCUG